UACGUAGGGUCCGAGCGUUGUCCGGAAUUAUUGGGCGUAAAGAGCUCGUAGGCGGUUUGUCGCGUCUGCUGUGAAAUCCCGAGGCUCAACCUCGGGUCUGCAGUGGGUACGGGCAGACUGGAGUGCGGUAGGGGGAGAAUGGAAUUCCUGGUGUAGCGGUGGAAUGCGCAGAUAUCAGGAGGAACACCGAUGGCGAAGGCAGGUCUCUGGGCCACUACUGACGCUGAGAAGCGAAAGCAUGGGGAGCGAACAGG
rnacentral:rRNA from 1 species